AUUGAACGCUGGCGGCAGGCCUAACACAUGCAAGUCGAGCGAGCGGCGGACGGGUGAGUAAUGUAUGGGGACUGCCCGAUAGAGGGGGAUAACUACUGGAAACGGUAGCUAAUACCGCAUACUAUCGGAUAACCCAUAUGGGAUUAGCUAGUAGGUGAGGUAAUGGCCCACCUAGGCGACGAUCCCUAGCUGGUCUGCGAGGAUGAUCAGCCACACUUGGACUGAGACACGGCCCAGACUCCUACGGAGGCAGCAGUGGGGAAUAUUGCACAAUGGGCGCAAGCCUGAUGCAGCCAUGCCGCGUGUAUGAAGAAGGCCUUCGGGUUGUAAAGUACUUUUGGCAGAGAAGCGGUAUCUGCAGAAUAAGCACCGGCUAACUACGUGCCAGCAGCCGCGGUAAUAC
rnacentral:rRNA from 1 species